GAUGGAUUCGUGGAUAUGG
rnacentral:misc_RNA from 1 species